rnacentral:rRNA from 1 species
UACGUAGGCAGCGAGCGUUGUUCGGAGUUACUGGGCGUAAAGGGUGUGUAGGCGGUUCUUUAAGUUUGGUGUGAAAUCUCCCGGCUCAACCGGGAGGGUGCGCCGAAUACUGAGGGACUAGAGUACGGGAGAGGAGAGUGGAAUUCCUGGUGUAGCGGUGAAAUGCGUAGAUAUCAGGAGGAACACCGGUGGUGUAGACGGCUUUCUGGACCGUAACUGACGCUGAGACACGAAAGCGUGGGUAGCAAACAGG